GAUGAACGCUGGCGGCGUGCCUAAUACAUGCAAGUCGAGCGAACAGACGAGGAGCUUGCUCCUCUGACGUUAGCGGCGGACGGGUGAGUAACACGUGGAUAACCUACCUAUAAGACUGGGAUAACUUCGGGAAACCGGAGCUAAUACCGGAUAAUAUAUUGAACCGCAUGGUUCAAUAGUGAAAGACGGUUUUGCUGUCACUUAUAGAUGGAUCCGCGCCGCAUUAGCUAGUUGGUAAGGUAACGGCUUACCAAGGCGACGAUGCGUAGCCGACCUGAGAGGGUGAUCGGCCACACUGGAACUGAGACACGGUCCAGACUCCUACGGGAGGCAGCAGUAGGGAAUCUUCCGCAAUGGGCGAAAGCCUGACGGAGCAACGCCGCGUGAGUGAUGAAGGUCUUCGGAUCGUAAAACUCUGUUAUUAGGGAAGAACAAAUGUGUAAGUAACAAUGCACGUCUUGACGGUACCUAAUCAGAAAGCCACGGCUAACUACGUG
rnacentral:rRNA from 1 species